rnacentral:sRNA from 1 species
AGAUUUUUUACUUUAUACACCGUGGAUCUUUUGAAAUGAAUCACUUUGAAAAUGUUUCUUUAGAGACCACGCUAAUGACUUUGUACCUAUUUCUCUCUUUCUCUCUCUCCCUCUCUUUCUCUCUCUGUUUAGUUGUUCUUUAUUCAACAUUCCUUUAUCUAAUUUCCUCCACAACAUGUUGAAACUUCACCUGUUCAACGAUAUAGAUAAAGCAACAAUUUUUUUUUGCAUUUUGAUUCUUUGCUAGGUGGAAGUACAUUAGGCAAGUUCCAAUAGAUGAGGAGACAAAGGAAAUAGCGAGAGAGAAGAAACGUCAGAGGAUUCGUCAAAAACAGCUUCGGUUUUAUGCAAAGCACGCCAAAGAAAACAUGGCAAAAUAUAGGACAGCUGACUGGGAAAAUAAGCCACCGGUUGAGAGGGAAUCUUAUGAACAAAUCUACUUCUAAUAUCAGUGCACUAAUUUAUAUCUUUGUUCGUGUGUAAUUCUUUAUAAAUGCUAUAUAAAUAGAAAGC